AUUCACUUGAGUGCUGAGUUGAAAGACUUGGUCUUCUGAGAUCAUUUGGAAUGAUGCAGCAGCAGUUCAUGUGGAUUUACUGAUGUAUAAUGUAUUUCGAAAUAAAUAGUUAUACAUAAUUGGAUUGUUUGGACCUUUGCCAGUGUAGACUUGACAAGACUGUUCUUGUCAAGAUGUUAUGGAUCAGUGGACUGCUAUGAGGAUUAAAGUCCUAGGCAUUACCAGAACAGGUCUGCACUGGGUGGAAUCCUAUCUUUCAGACAAAUCCUUCAAGCCAGUCUGACAUGUCAAUUUGGAUGAGGGAACACCACCUUCGGCUUAAUUUGGCAAAAACUGUGCUUCUCGUCAUCCCAGCCUGCCCCUCAAUCAACCACAACCUCACUAUACAGCUCAGCUCAACCAUACUCAAGCUUUUGAUGACAGCUUGACCUUUACAGACCACAUUUCUAGAACUGCACAGUCCUUUAGGUUCAUUCUGUAUAACAUCAAGAAAAUCAGACCCUAUCUCACUGAACAGGCUACACAGCUACUAGUCCAGGCUCUUGUCAUCUCAAAACUGGACUACUGCAACGCACUACGCUCGGG
ensembl:lncRNA